rnacentral:rRNA from 1 species
GACGAACGCUGGCGGCGUGCUUAACACAUGCAAGUCGAACGGAAAGGCCCUGCUUUUGUGGGGUGCUCGAGUGGUGAACGGGUGAGUAACACGUGAGUAACCUGCCCUUGACUUUGGGAUAACUUCAGGAAACUGGGGCUAAUACCGGAUAUGAGCUCCUGCUGCAUGGUGGGGGUUGGAAAGUUUCGGCGGUUGGGGAUGGACUCGCGGCUUAUCAGCUUGUUGGUGGGGUAGUGGCUUACCAAGGCUUUGACGGGUAGCCGGCCUGAGAGGGUGACCGGCCACAUUGGGACUGAGAUACGGCCCAGACUCCUACGGGAGGCAGCAGUGGGGAAUAUUGCACAAUGGGCGGAAGCAUGAUGCAGCAACGCCGCGUGCGGGAUGACGGCCUUCGGGUUGUAAACCGCUUUAGCCUGUGACGAAGAGUGAGUGACGGUAAUGGGUAAAGAAGCACCGGCUAACUACGUG